rnacentral:rRNA from 1 species
CCUACGGGGGGCACCAGUGGGGAAUAUUGCACAAUGGGCGCAAGCUUGAUGCAGCCAUGCCGCGUGUGUGAAGAAGGCCUUCGGGUUGUAAAGCACUUUCAGCGGGGAGGAAGGCGAUAAAGUUAAUAACCUUGUCGAUUGACGUUACCCGCAGAAGAAGCACCUGCUAACUCCGUGCCAGCAGCCGCGGUAAUACGGAGGGUGCAAGCGUUAAUCGGAAUUACUGGGCGUAAAGCGCACGCAGGCGGUCUGUCAAGUCGGAUGUGAAAUCCCCGGGCUCAACCUGGGAACUGCAUUCGAAACUGGCAGGCUAGAGUCUUGUAGAGGGGGGUAGAAUUCCAGGUGUAGCGGUGAAAUGCGUAGAGAUCUGGAGGAAUACCGGUAGCGAAGGCGGCCCCCUGGACAAAGACUGACGCUCAGGUGCGAAAGCGUGGGGAGCAAACAGGAUUAGAUACCCCUGUAGUC